AUAAUAAGAAGAACUGAGCAAAAACAAUAAGUCUCCAAACUUUGUUUGGGAGACUUAAUAAAAGCAUGACAAGUUGAAAAAAUUACGUUAAACGUCAAUCUUCUAAACGAUUGAUUUGGCGGACUUUUUGACGUUACGGAUGAAUGUAGCGCCAACUUAUUAAUUCCCCUUAUAGAGCUUGACGACAACGGACGUUUCCAAGG
rnacentral:lncRNA from 1 species